rnacentral:rRNA from 1 species
AAAGCGAGCGGCGGAUGGGUGAGUAACACGUGGGGAACCUGCCCCUAAGUCUGGGAUACCAUUUGGAAACAGGUGCUAAUACCGGAUAAUAAAGCAGAUCGCAUGAUCAGCUUUUGAAAGGCGGCGUAAGCUGUCGCUAAGGGAUGGCCCCGCGGUGCAUUAGCUAGUUGGUAAGGUAACGGCUUACCAAGGCGACGAUGCAUAGCCGAGUUGAGAGACUGAUCGGCCACAUUGGGACUGAGACACGGCCCAAACUCCUACGGGAGGCAGCAGUAGGGAAUCUUCCACAAUGGACGCAAGUCUGAUGGAGCAACGCCGCGUGAGUGAAGAAGGUUUUCGGAUCGUAAAGCUCUGUUGUUGGUGAAGAAGGAUAGAGGUAGUAACUGGCCUUUAUUUGACGGUAAUCAACCAGAAAGUCACGGCUAACUACGUGCCAGCAGCCGCGGUAAUACGUAGGUGGCAAGCGUUGUCCGGAUUUAUUGGGCGUAAAGCGAGCGCAGGCGGAAAAAUAAGUCUAAUGUGAAAGCCCUCGGCUUAACCGAGGAACUGCAUCGGAAACUGUUUUUCUUGAGUGCAGAAGAGGAGAGUGGAACUCCAUGUGUAGCGGUGGAAUGCGUAGAUAUAUGGAAGAACACCAGUGGCGAAGGCGGCUCUCUGGUCUGCAACUGACGCUGAGGCUCGAAAGCAUGGGUAGCGAACAGGAUUAGAUACCCUGGUAGUCCAUGCCGUAAACGAUGAGUGCUAAGUGUUGGGAGGUUUCCGCCUCUCAGUGCUGCAGCUAACGCAUUAAGCACUCCGCCUGGGGAGUACGACCGCAAGGUUGAAACUCAAAGGAAUUGA